GAGACACUCUUAUGGGGCAGGACUUGCUUCACUGGGGCUUUAGUACUCAUUGAGUCUGCCCCUUGAGUGUGUCACU
rfam:Myotis brandtii contig309569, whole genome shotgun sequence.